CGGUAAUACGUAGGGUGCAAGCGUUAAUCGGAAUUACUGGGCGUAAAGCGUGCGCAGGCGGUUCGGAAAGAAAGAUGUGAAAUCCCAGAGCUUAACUUUGGAACUGCAUUUUUAACUACCGGGCUAGAGUGUGUCAGAGGGAGGUGGAAUUCCGCGUGUAGCAGUGAAAUGCGUAGAUAUGCGGAGGAACACCGAUGGCGAAGGCAGCCUCCUGGGAUAACACUGACGCUCAUGCACGAAAGCGUGGGGAGCAAACAGGAUUA
rnacentral:rRNA from 1 species